AUGUUAAAAACACAUUAUUACUCAAAUUUGUUUAGAAGAAUAAUACGAUCCAGCAAAGAACAAGGACAGAGGCUGGCUCCUUCUCUCUCGACAAGAUGGCCACACCGGCAGCACACCGGCAGCACACCGGCGAGUGCUCCUGCCGCCACUCCAGCUCCAGCCCCCGCCCCGGCCGCGGCCCCAGCCUCGGUCCCAGCCUCGGUCCCAGCCCCGGCCCCAGCCCCGGCCCCAACCCCAGCCUCAGCGCCAGCGCCGGCUCCGGCUCCAGCGGCGGUCCCAGCUCCGACGCCGGCAGCCUCAUCCUCAGACUCGGCGACUGCGGCGGCCACGACCGCGGCUCCGGGCCAGACCCCGGCCUCAACGCCGGCCCCGGCGCAGACUCCGGCGCAGUCGCUGCCGGGUCCUGCUCUCCCAGGCCCCUUCCCCGGCGGCCGUGUGGUCCGGCUGCACCCGGUCAUUUUGGCCUCCAUCGUGGACAGCUACGAGCGACGCAACGAGGGCGCUGCUCGAGUGAUCGGGACUCUGCUGGGAACCGUUGACAAGCAUUCAGUGGAGGUUACUAACUGCUUUUCAGUGCCGCACAACGAGUCAGAAGAUGAGGUGAUAUGGAAUUUGCUAAGAACAUGUAUGAAUUACACAAGAAAGUCUCUCCAAAUGAGCUCAUCCUGGGCUGGUAUGCUACAGGCCAUGACAUUACAGAGCACUCUGUGCUGAUCCACGAGUACUACAGCCGGGAAGCCCCCAACCCCAUUCACCUCACUGUGGACACGAGCCUCCAGAACGGCCUCAUGAGCAUCAAGGCCUAUGUCAGCACUUUAAUGGGUGUCCCUGGGAGGACCAUGGGGGUGAUGUUCACACCUUUGACGGUGAAAUAUGCAUAUUAUGACACUGAACGCAUUGGAGUUGACCUGAUCAUGAAGACCUGUUUUAGCCCCAACCGGGUGAUUGGGCUCUCAAGCGACUUGCAGCAAGUAGGAGGGGCAUCAGCUCGCAUCCAGGAUGCCCUAAGCACAGUGUUGCAGUAUGCAGAGGAUGUGCUGUCUGGAAAGGUGUCAGCUGACAAUACCGUGGGCCGCUUCUUGAUGAGUCUGGUUAACCAAGUACCCAAGAUAGUUCCCGAUGACUUUGAGACCAUGCUCAACAGCAACAUCAAUGACCUGCUGAUGGUGACCUACCUGGCCAAUCUCAUGCAGUCACAGAUUGCCCUCAAUGAGAAACUUGUAAACCUGUGAAUGGGCCCCACGCAGCACUCCUGCCAGUCUGGGCCACCCUAGGACUCAGAAUGGAGUGAAGUAGAAUGGUUUUCUUGUGGUUUGAGUCACACUGAGUCAGUCAACUGCUUGUGACUCUAAAUAAAUAUAGCCUACCUUUUGUAAAUGAAAAAAAAAAAAAAGAA